CAGGUUCCUAGAGACCCUGUUGAAUGUAAGGGACUGCAGAGAAGCGAAGAAGACUAAAUCAAGACAGUUCAUAUCAGGGAUUUCGUCAUUGUCAUCUGAGUCUGUUAAUUCUUCUUCAUCGAACACAAUGUCAACAUUGCCAUACACCCCAUAAUCAUUCAGAUUCUCUUGUUCUUCAUCAAGAUGAAUGUUUAGAUCAAAGGGGUAGAACAGAUGCUGGGGAGGAUCAGCAGGGAGGACUCCAUUGAGGUCAG